AGCAACCUGGUCUAUUGGGAGGUGUCCCUACCCCAUGGCAGGGGGUUGAAAUGAAAUUACCUUUAAGGUCCCUUUCAGUCCAAAUUGGGCAAUGAUUUUGGGACAGAUCAGCUCAGCUCUUCAGAGCAGGUGCCAGUUACACCAAGGCUUGUGGGUUUGAUCCCUGUAUGGAUCAUUCAGGAGUUGGACUCCAUGAUCCUUGUGGGUCCCUUCCAACUCAGAAUAUUCUGUGAUUAAGUGUAUUUACCCAGUUUCUCUUUUACAGUGCACAUUCAGUGGAUGAGCAAAGCUGUGUUUGCAUGGCUUCCUGAAUCAAAUGAUCAUGGAACAGGCACAAACUGGUGUAGCACAGCUUGAAACUCCACUUAUCUGUACAUUCUGUUUUAAUGGGAUGAAGCUUUGUGCUUCUCAAUGCAGUUUUAAUGGGAUAGAGGUUUAGAUAAAGGUAUUUUAAGCUUUUAAAAUUCUGUGUAUUAGAAGGGUAAAGCUGGAGUUGUGAUUCAUGGUGUGUACUGUGUGCACAAAUCUCUGCUGAGACAUCUUAGUUUGAAAAAGGGUGUUUAAAACCUUCCCCAAACAUAUUGGCUGCCUCCCAGUAACUUUAAAACUGGCAUUGAAGCUGGAGAGGAUUUUUUCUUUUGUUCCUCUGCUGCAUUGCUUAAUGCAUCCAAAACUGACUCAUUUAAUCAAGGAGCUUCUACUAACAGCUUGAGAUGUCAAAUCACAAAUUUCAAAUACAUUUCAAAACAUGUUUUGUGGUGAAGAAUACUUCCCCUACAGCCUUCUUGGGGGUGUCCUUGCUGGUAGUCGCUGCUUCUGUUUUUCCUCAGAUAUGUCAGGGUGGUUUUGCUGAAAUAAAUUAUUUGUCACCCUCAGUACACAGAAGCCCUGGUAGCUGUGUUGUCUCUGAGCUCCCCAGCAGCCCUGUGCUGGAUGUUUGGUUGUUUUGGUUUCCUGGACAAUGAACCGGUGUCCUGGGAAGCCUGACCUGGUCUGUAUCACCAUGAGGAGUGGCAGGAACCUGCAGGAGGAAGCUCCAGGUGUCUUGAGAGGAAGGAAAUGAGGAGAAAACAGCGUGUUUUGGGGAGCGUUCCCACACAAUGCAAGGGAGAAGCAUGGGGUAGGGGGGCACAUCAGGAAGGAAAGGGUCAAAUUGGUCUGGGAAAGAUGUUCCUGCGUUUUACCACAGAGGGGAAAAAGUACUCUUCCAGCCUCAAAAGAACAUUCCCAUCCUCUGCUGCUGUCUGCUGCCUGCCUGAGCCGGUGUGGUUGGUGGUGGAGAGCCCCAGCUGCUGCCCGGGGCAGAGGGAGCUGCCCUGUGUGACCUCGGGAGCAGCGAGAGGGAAGGUGCUGUUUCAUGUUCAAUGCACUGGGCAAGAGAGGGGCCUCACAGGCAAUAUCUGCCUUCCUGCCCUACGCCUGAACCUCAUGGGAAGCCUGCUCCAUUCUUAUCCCCUUCCUGGCAUUGACCCCUGGGUCCGCUGUGACCUGAGGCUUCCUGUCACCCGUGCAGGGCCAGCACCUUCCACCAUCACGUAAGAGCCAGGUCCACGGGCUUCCCUUGCCCUGAAUGCAGAAGAUUUCUCCUGCCUUUUACAACAGAGAGGUGACCUGGAGCUCUGUUUGCAGCAUUAAGCAAGUGAACAAUAAAAUAGUUGCCAGGGGAUUUUAACUGGAGAUGCCCUUCCAGUCACUAAGGUGUCCAGGAAGCAAAGUCUCUGGUCUGGGCAGUCACAGCUGCUGGAAACACGGUGGGAUGGGAUUUGGUGGAGGUCACAUUGCAGAAAUCAGCUGGGUAUGCUGCCAUGGAGGCACAGUGCCACUGCAGGGGGCAGAGCCCCUGGUGAAAGCAGCUCUGCUGGCCCAAGUGCCAGGGUUUGUGUAGGGCACAGUGGAGGGUGCACCUGAGCCUGGCUGCAUCAGGAGAAGGUAAGAGCUGGGAACAUCUUUUCUGCUGUAGCAAGAAUGAUGUUGGUGCCAGUACAUCCCCUGCGUGGUCUGAGUCCUGCCUUGGCUAAACUGUGUUCUGUGAGUGAGAUGCCUUUGAUGCAUCUGUUGCCUCAUUCGUUGCCUCAUCCACAGAGCUUGGCUUGAGCCAUCCCUAUGGCUGAGACAAAGAUCCUUUUAAAGCUUAAAAGAAUCUUUGUUCUAGUUUUGUUUUGUCUAAUUCUCACUUGUAUAUGGUAACGUACAUAAUAUAUAUGGAAAAAAUUAUCUUCACUUAAAUGUUUCUUUCUCUGUACACAUGCCAGUGGAAAAUGCUUCAUUGACACUACUACAAUCCUGCAGACCCAGACAAUGCAAUUCUCAAUGCUGUUUCAAUCUACAUUUACUGACAAAUAAAAUAGUUUGUUAAUUUUACCAGAAGCAGAUGUCAACUUUCUAGACUCAAAGCAAAAAUACCCACAAAUCAACAAAGCCCCUAAAACAAAAGGAAAAAAACUCUUUAGACUCAGUGUGUGGCCUAAAUGCAACCGUCCCUAUGCCUGUGCUGCUAAUUGGGCCCUGCCUGUUGCCCUCAUUAGCCCUUGGGCUUUUGGGCACUGCUGAGAAGGAACAACCCCAUUACAGGGCAUUGGAAGAGUUGUUACAUGAUGUCUCUCUGUGAGAAGAAAAAUUCAGUUCACACCCUCUAAAUCCAAAGUAUAAGGUAAAAAUAAUCCCUUUCUAUUCUCUCCUAAACAGAACUGCUCCUGGAAAGCAGAAACAAACCCUAGUAAUUGCUCUAUGUCCCUGGAGUCCUUAACAGAGCAUCUGCAGACAUGACAGGAACAAGACCUGCUCCGGGAUCCCUGCAGUUUUCCACAAUGGCAGAGAUCAGUUCAUGCGUUACUGUUUCAGUGCUCUGUGUGUGCUCAGUGCUGUGACAUUACAAAGAAGAUGACUUUAUUUUCCUGCUGCAAGGAGGUUGAAAUCUUAACAUCCUGAACAUAUGGAAGGAGAGUUUUCUCUGACUGUCAAAAAUCUCAUAAAAUUUGCAACUCUCCUGUGCAGAAGUUUAAUCUCCCUGCUGUGGACAGAGUGAGAGCAAUGAGAGCUACAUCACUUUUAACAUGGCCAUAUUUCUAAGAACAGAAGGAAUCUGUGUCAAGUAUGUGAUUUGGGUCACUUUUUGCACCUUUUCUUGUCUGUGCUUCUAUUUAUGCCCUGGCCAGUUCUUACACUCCCCAAGCUUGUAAGAAAGUAGACAUGGUUAAUAACUUUAAGAGGAAAGAGACUGGUUUGCUACAUCUGAUCUGAGCACCACAGCCUUUAAUUAUGUAAACAGUGACAUCAUCUUCUAUUGCAGAACUGGAACCCUAAACAGUUAAAGGAGAGCAAAUUUUAGGAAGUGUCCUUAUGAGACAAGUGUGAUUGAUUUUCAAGUGUGUAUAUUUAAGAAAGAUGCUGUAUCCUGAAUCAGAUAAGUUCUGUGAAUCUGACUUUACUCCAAUUCAAACUGCAAAAAUUUAUCACUUUUUUUUUUCCUUUUAAACCGUGUAAAAAUUGGUGCUUGCAGCCUGCUGGGGAGUGUGAAGAGCAGCAGAGCUGGCUUUUUUGUCUACUUUCAGUUUCUGCCAGAAAUCUGCUUUUGCACUCCUCCAAAAGCCUUUUGUAAGUGACGCCUGACCCAUCCAGUGAUGGGAACAGCUGCCUUGUUCCCGGGAUUCAGUGUUACUCAUCCAGGGGAUGGUGUUCAGGUCAUUGCUGAGCUGCCAGUAAAGCACUCGGUUUCCUACUUGGGGGGGGGGUUUGCUGAUGUCUGUUAGAAAAUAUCACCACAGCCACGUCCAGUCCCUUCUCCAUCACACAGCGUGGAGGAAACGUGCAUCCUUUUUGGCCAGAAAAAGCAAAACCAUACACCACAGUAUGGCUGAGUCACUGCCAAGGGUGAACAUCUGCUCUACAGCUUGUCAUUCAGCCCUUAAAGAUGUCCUGUGAGCAGCCAAGAGCACUGGCCUGGCUGGGUUCUUGCACUUGUUUUGUACCUGAAUGGGUGCUCUCUCUCCAAAGGGGAUGGUUGCAGAUUGGCAUGCUCCACCUCUGUGCCAGCUGCACAAGUGCAGCAACACAUGGACCUGCCUGCUGGAGAGAGAAUAGCCUGGUUUUUGCUCACUUGGAUUUUCUGUGCCAUAUUUACUGUAAAGCAUUGCUCCUGUAGUGAAUUACCAUGAGGAAAGCAGACGAGAGCUCCCCAUUUCCUAGCAGCUGCCUUGUGGCAGGGACAUGUCUCUGUGCCUCUUGUUGCUGUCAGGAAGUGACUCCAUCUGUGCUGGUCAGACAGGGACAGAAGGCUGAAAGUUCUUUGGGUUGGCUUGUUUGUUUGUUUAAAAAUUAACAAGUGUUUAGAAAGCAUUAGUGAUUGUUUCCAGUGAGUUUGCUUUCAAACCUGGCCUCAUGCCAUGGGAAAGGCUGGGUUAAGUGCCAUUGGACACUGGCAGGUGCCACAGCUCAGUGUCCUCUAGCCGUGCCCUGAACCAGAGAACCUUCUGUCCUCUUUGAAUUGUUUCCUCUGUGAAUGAAGGCAAAUGUUGCAUUAUACGAGGGGCAGAAGAAGCAUUUCCCCAACCUUCCUUAUGUAGUAGCUGGUGACAUUUUUCUUUGGAUUUAAGCCAGGGCUGUCUCAGCAAACUUUUGGGUCAGAUUCCUGGUUUCUCUCACCCUGUAGUUGCCUUUUCCUGUUGCUGCCAGGCUCAGCUGGAGCAGGGGAAGCGCUCAUGGACCUGCCCAUGUGAAGGGCUCCAGUGCUGCCGAGCUGGUUUGGGGGAGGUCACCAGCUUGCUUCUCAUGGCUUCUGCCAGGUUUCGCUUGCUCCAGUGCCUGAGUUUCACACUUGAACCUGAGGAAGAUCACAUCUGAAGGUGUUCUGUCUUUCCUAGCUCGCUGUGGGAGGGGUAACUCCCUGAUGGCACUUUGUGCUUUGAUCUGAGCUUACCCAAUGUCUUCACCCUUAUCUCAAAACAGCAACUUUAUAAAAGCAGGUGAACCCAGCUGGUGUGAGGGCAGAAGUGAGAUGGUUUGGGGCAUCUCACAAACACACACUGGUUCCUCACUGUGGUAGAAUUACAGCAGUGCCCCAAACAGAUCCUCAGUGUGCCCUUCUGUGGUUCUGCCCAGGCUAAGGGCUGGUGUCCUGGCUGACAUGUAGGACAAGAAGCAGUUUUCACUCCUCCUGCUUCCAGGAAGGUGAGGAUUUGGACCAAUUUUGGAGAAGCUGAUCCUUGUGUGGAGAAGAUUUUGGGUGUCACCAUCAUGUGGCAAUUCUCAGGAGUAUGCUUAAGAUACCAUUUAUCCAGAAGAUUUGCUGUGCCUGGUAACUGUAGGGAUGUGUGUUUCUUCCCUGGUCUUACUAAGAUCCUGGUGAGCCAUCUGGAAAUUUCAUCCUAUGAUUAUUCCAGGAUCUGGAAGACCUUUUGUAACUACUAAUCCCAGAAACAGAUUUUUCCUUCAUCCUGUCUGUCAACACAGCCUUUAACUUAUUUUUAUGGGCUUCAGCACAUGUUUGAAGCAUCGCUGCCUUAGGAUACAAUUUAUUUUUUCCAGACUAUCUCAGUGCUCCUUAUAUCUACUUAUAGCACUUUCUGAGGAAAGGCUGUUUUGGGGGUAUUUAUUAGGAUCUUCUGUGUCCUUCAAAAUUUGACAUAUCUCUAUUUGCACACCUAGAACAGGAAUCAGUGUGACUUAGCAUGCCAUGAGCAUGAGCUCCUAGGAAAUUAUGCUUUGAGUUGCCACCUAUUUUGCUGAAAAAAAAUGAGUAAUGCAAGUAAUUACAUUUAAUCAGUAAGACGUGAUAAAUAUUUCAUUAAAAAAUAUUGAUCCAAUUAAAGCAAGGGGGUGGGGGGGUAAAGCAAAAAGACCUAAGAUCAUGGGAUAAUCUAAGAUAACUGGUGCCAUGCUAGAUUCCUGAUAUUUUGUCCCUUCUUAUUGUGUCUUGCCCUCUGGCUCUUGUUUGCCCGCCAAUAUAACUUGUGGAUGAAGUUUGCUGUAUGUCUUAACUGCUCUGUGGAGGGAGUGGGACAUGGCAGGCAAGAAUCCCAUGUACAGGAAAAGCUGUUUAAUAGAUUGCCAUCAAUGUUGGGGGAGUUGGGGAAGGUCUCAGUUGCCUGGAACCAUGGCCCUGUGUUCCUGCAAGAACAUAAGGCCCCGGGCAGAGGCUCAGAGAAGCUCUCUGGAGGAGCCUGCAGGACACAUUUCCCAUGGCUGGAGCAUGGCAGAGUGAUGGAGAGGUGGGAAGAGUCUGUGUGUGUGCACAGACCUAGCAAGGGGCCCGCUGCAAGUCCCCUGGUUUGCCGUGUGUCAGAGCAGGCCCCGAGCACACAAACUCCUGUAAAUCAUGUAAAGUCAUCCCCUGAAAGUCAGGAGCAAUGCAGGGAGAGCUGCCUCCUUUUUCUCUCUUGUUAAGGAAGAAUUCUCAAAAAAAUGUUUUUACAUUUCUUGGGAGCAACAGAAAAGCUUGACCUAAUUGCUGUUCUAAAUGUAUGCCCAUGGCUUCUGAAAGGCCCAGCAGGAUAUAAAACCACCAGUUACCAGUUCUGAUUUUUGCCAGAACUUCAAAGUGUUUCCUUUUAUGCAGUAAUCUAAAAAUGAGUCCAAGAAAACACUCACAGCAUUACUUAGAUAUUCCAGUUGUGCCACCAAUAUGGAAACUUGAAUUAUUAUAUUUCCCACAGACAAAUCUUCCGUCGUUAGCUAAACUUGAUGGUCUUCCACUUGCUUGUAGGGAAGAUACAACCUCCUUUCCAUGGUCUGAAAUAUGGUUGCAGCUGAAAGCUGAGCCAAGAGUGAUGAUUGAUGGACUAAAAAAACAGGACCUUAACAUGGUAACCAAAGUCCUAUUUAGACUUUAAAUGUUUUUUAAUCAUAGUCAUAUCCUUCUCUGGAAAAGAAGCUUCACAUGGACCAGCCAGUACUCAUUUAAUAUAUGCUUUGUUAUUUUACUCUUUGAGAUUACAGUUCCCAUCUUUAUCACUUGUGUAUCAUGCCCAAAUUUUCAGUAGAGAUAAAAGUUUAUGUACCUCCAGUGAUUAAAUGCAAAAUUAGUCAGGUAGGACCCAGUUCUAUCCCCUAAGUCUUAGUCACUUCUUGAAAGCCUUGUAAGUUUGGGUUCCCCUGCCUUUGCCAGUGUGUGAUCUGGCAAUGUGUUUAUUUUGUGAGGAAGGCCAUUGCACAGGAUUCAUUCCUGUGUGUCAGCAAGCCAUGGCUGCUUUGCUCCUGAGAUUAUAACUACAUAAUACAUUAUAAAAUUGAGGGGGACAUGGGGUUUAUUGGUCAGGUUGUAUUGGGACUUUCUUGAUAAGUGCAGUUAUGUGGGCAGAGUCUGAGGUAUUUAUUUUGUGUGCUGGAGUGGCCUCACAGUAGCACUUGACCUUGCAGUUAAGUCAAUGUAGGUUUGUCCCUCAGCCGCUGAGCCCAGGAGAGCCCCAGCAGAUUCACCAGGUUCUGGUCAGGAGCAAGUCCUGGAAUGCCAAACAACAGCCACCAGGGCCUGCAGAGUCCCAUCAUACCCAAAGUGCUUUCAGUGACCACAGGAUGUGUGGUCAUAAAUUAAGAGGUUGUUCAAAAACCAUGUAGAUGUAGAGAAAUCCUCCUGCUUAAGCAAAUAUCCUGGCGAGUUUCUCCUGGAAAAUAAUUUGAUGUGUAAAGCUGUAUCUUUUCCAGGGUAUGAGGGGUGGGAUUUGAGAGAGAGAAGUGUCUAAUUCUCCAAACUUAGAAAGCAUGUGGGCCUCAAACUCUUUUCCCAGUUGGAAAAUUUGCUGUUAAGAAAAGGAAAUAGGUUUUUAUAAGCAAUAUUUAAUUCAAGCAUUUGGCUAAUUCUCCUGCUGCAAAGCUUUUAGGUCAAAUUCUGAUUCAUUGAUGUGGAUCUAGAUUUAAAGGGAUUAGGAGAGGAAGUGGACUCUGAAGUUAGGAAAACUUUGGUUCCUUGUUCACUUUUUCCUACUCAUCAAAUAUAUAUUUGACCUAUGUUUCUAUUUUAAGUGUUGUGGGGAAACUUACUCCUACGUGUCUGCCUUUGCUCUUUUUCUGCCCAUUGUCAUAAGCUCUGCCAUGGGUGUGUUCCAUUUUACUGUUGCAGAAAGGGAUCCUGAUCAUUCUGGACAUGGCAUUGUUGUACAAAUGCUAGGAAUUUCUACAUUUAUUCCAUUAGGUUAGAGAAUGGAAAAUGGGUGGUUUAUUAUUCUUAUUACUCAUUAAAGUUACGUGUUAAAGCAGUGCCCUGUUUCACAAUGUGAUGUUCUGCAGUAGCUCAGGGCCUGAGGGAAGCCAUGGCCAGUACUUUCCUUUUGUUGCUGUGUGUGUUACGUAUUCACAGAAGUGUGUGUUGUGUUCAGCAUUCCUACAGGGAUCACCUUGGGGAUCCAUCUGAAAACUUUUCAUCUGGCAUUAAGGUCAGUCUCCCUCUGUCUGUCCUUGCCAUUUCUCUGUUGUGUGUGUGACUCUCAGACCCAGUUGUCCACAAUCCUGCUCUCUCCCAGCUUCCAAGAACUUCCUAUUUUUCCCAUUGUGAGUACUCUAAUUCCUAGGUCUCAGAGACCUGGCAGCCAUCAAUCCAAUGUCAUUUACAGUAUCCUGUAACACCAUCAGUGAUGGUUGUGAGUGCUUUUUGCUUGAUGUGUUCAUAAAGCAGCUACAAAGACACUGUUGGAGGGGCCAGGUCUGCAUCCCACCCUGGCUCUGGUACUGUGGAGUUGUGAUGGUUUUACCGCUUUCAUAAAUGCAGCAAACAGCAUUGCCAAACCCAGUGGUUUAUCUGGGGCCAUCCAUGUGCUCUGGAAAAAAACAGCUCAUCCUGGGAGAAAAGAGUGAUGGGGGGUUUCCCUCAGUUUCCUGUAAUUACUUGGAGAGUAAUUAUGUUGCUCAAAAGAAAGAGCUGCUGCUUGUCUUGUGAGAAAAAGGAGAUAAGAACCAGGGGGUUAAAUGUAACAACUCUUUGCUAUACCAGCCCUGCCAGUGCUCUGGAAAGAGGAGAGCACAGUGGUGAUGAGCCAAAUUCACCUUGGGGCCAGUAAUUAGUCAGGUGGGAGCUUCCCACUAGAUUGAGGGUGUCCUGGGAGGUCUCCUGGAACAGGGAGAAAAGAAGGUGUUUGGCAAAGCAGAGGACCUUAUCAUUUUUCUCCCAGUUUUCACCAUGUAUCAUCAUACUUUGCUCUGUAAAGCACUGUGAUAUAGUUUGUAUACAUUAUGUAAAAUAAGUUGUAUUCUAUUAUAUUGAAGAAAUACAAAUAUAAAAUAAAGACAAAGGAUGGAGUAAAGUAGCUGCGUGGUAACUGGACCCCCAGUCCCCAGUUGCGCUGGUUGUCCCAUUCCCCAAGACUGUGGUUGUAUCCCUGGAAUUAUUUAGGUGUUUGCCACUUGAUGAUACAAUGUUAAACACAGACUGUCCUGGAUGAAAAGGGGAGCACAGAUGGAAUUCUGUGGCACAUCGCUCUCCAGGAGAGCCUGUCUCCACCAUCCCCUGCUCUGCUGCUGCUGUUUGUGGCAUUGUGCAGCUCUUCUGUCUCAGCUUUUAAGAAACAAUUUUUAACUGUGCUUCACGUUUUUGAAGUUGGGAAAGCUCUAAUUCAUCUCCAGGCACAACUGACACGUGGACCCUCUGGGAAUAGUGCCUGUUGGUAAUGGGACAGCAUGUGGCAAUUUGUAAUCUAGGGAAAGCAGAACCCCGACUCUCCAGAGUUUGUGGGGGAGAGGCUGGGAGGGAGGUGAGGAUGGCUCCAAGCACUUCAGACGGGCAACUUGCUUUUGCGGAAACUGGAAUCUGCCAAAAAUGCCAUGGGGAACCUUUAAUGGGAAAAAUGUGUUUGUGAGCUGCCCAGCAGCAGGACGAGAUCCCGCUCCUGCAUUUGACCCUCGAGGCAGGAGCUGUGGGUCACGGAGCCUCCCAGGGAGGAAGAGCCGGAAAUCCCAGCGGCUCCCGAGCCCGGCGGCUGCGGCGGAGGAGUCGGACCUCGGGCUCUGCAAGGGCUGCCAAGGAGGUCAGCGCAGGGGGCUCCCGGCACAAAUCCUUCUGCUCUGUGGGAAUUUCCCCUCUCGAGCGACUGCUGCACUUUUUAACCCGAAGAUUAAUGGAAGGGGGCCGUGGAAAGGGCCGGAGUGCCUGAAUUAGUUGAUUAGUCUCCAAGCAAGCAUGCAGCCGGUGAGUCACCGGCACCGCUUCCUGCGCGCUGAUGCUCUGCCUGGAGCUCUCCCAGCGAUCCGGCCCAGCCCUGCGAAGGCUGGGAACUCGCGGGACCACAUCACCGCAUGCUGCGACUGCGGGCUGUUAAUGCUAUAAAAUAAAAACUAAUCUAGAUUAAUUACA